GACGAACGCUGGCGGCGUGCCUAAUACAUGCAAGUCGAGCGAAGCGGCGGAUGGGUGAGUAACGCGUGGGUAACCUGCCCUUAAGUCUGGGAUACUAUUUGGAAACAGAUGCUAAUACCGGAUACUAAAGGAUGGACCUGCGAUGCAUUAGCUGGUUGGUAAGGUAACGGCUUACCAAGGCGAUGAUGCAUAGCCGAGUGGGGAGGCUGAUCGGCCACAUUGGGGCGGAGAGACGGCCCAAACUCCUACGGGAAGCAGCAGUAGGGAAUCUUCCACGAUGGAAGAAAGUCUGAUGGAGCGACGCGGCGUGAGUGAAGAAGGUUUUGUGGUCGUAAAGCUCUGUUGGUGGUGAAGCAGUAAUCAACCAGACAGUCACGGCUAACUACGUGCCAGCCGCUAUAAUUC
rnacentral:rRNA from 1 species